AUCUGAAUUUUGGGGAAUUCCCAUUGUGGCUCAGUGGGUUAUGAACCCGACUAGCAUCCGCGAGGAUGCGGGUUUGAUCCCUGGCCUUGAUCAGUGGGUUAAGGAUCCUGUGUGGCCGCGAGCUGCAGUGUACGUCACAGACGCAGCUCAGAUCCUGCGUUGCUGUGGCUGUGGUGUAGGUGGGUAGCUGCAGCUCUGAUUCAACUCCUAGCCUGGGAACAUCCAUAUGCUGUGGGUACAGGCCUAAAAAGGGAAAAAAAAUCUAAAUUUUCAUGAGCUACAUUAGAAGUGAAUUUGCAGAAAAGCAAGCCAGAGAAAAAAUUCUGUUGAUCAAUCAAAAAAUAGCAUUAAUAAAACUUUAUAAUUUAUUGCAUUACAUAAAAUGAGGACAUCAAAAAUGUUUUUGUGCAAUUUAUAGGUUUCUGUUAUUAUAUAUGUAUCAUUAUUACUUCUACUGUAUAAAUGAUAACAUGUUUUUAAAGAAAAAAUAUUUAUACCUCAGUACCUCUAAUUGAGCUUUUUCCCUGAAUUUGAGCAAGGAGCCCAGUAUUUUCACUUUGCAGUAGACCCUGCAAAUUAUGUGGUCAGCUCUGGUUAUUGGGUCAUUUUCUAGAGAAGCUGAAGAAUCCUAGAGAAAAGGCCUUCGGAUACUGGUGCUUGAGUAUUUUCCACAAAAGGAAGCUUUCUGCACAACCACCCUGGAGUGAAGUACAUACACACAUACCCAGAACUUUCAAAUAUUUAAGAUGAACAGAAUUUCAAAGGUCACCUUACACUGAAAAAUACUCCAACACAAAAGACAAAGACUCAAAGAAAGAAGCAAAAAAUAGUACUUGGCAAACAGACGAUAAAGGAAGCUGAGGAAAACUUAAAAAGAAACUGUUUAUAAUUUAGAUCCUUCGAUGUAACAAAAAUACAGCAUAUUUGAAAUAUGAAUAGAAUAUCAUUAAAGUUGAGCAGCAGAGCACAAGAACGAGGCUUGGAAUUAGAAGUUAACUUCCAGGUGUUCCUGUCGUGGCUCAGUGGAAAAGAAUCUGACUAGUAUCCAUGAGGACACAGGUUUGAUCCCUGGCCUUGCUCAAUGGGUUAAGGAUCUGGCAUUGCUGUGACCUGUGGUGUAGGUCACAGACACAGCUCAGAUCUGGCAUUACUGUGGCUGUGGUAUAGGCCAGCAGCUGCAGCUCCAGUUGGACCCCUAGCCUGGGAACCUCCAUAUGCUGUAGGUGGGGCCCUAAACGCACACACACACACACACACACACACACACACACACACACAUAUAAAUAAAUAAAUAAAUAAAUGGUAAUUUCCACAACUGAAAGUCAAUGGAUUGGUUGGAAAAUAAACUUAAAAAAACCUCCCCAAGAGCAGGACGAAGGGCAAAAAAGAUAGAUAAAAGAAAAGAUUAAAAAAUUAGAGGCCUGACCCACAAAGAACCAUCUUAAGCAGGCCUUCCAGAGGAGUCCCCCGGUUGCUCACUGUGUUAAGGAUCAGGUGUUGUCACUGCCAUGGUUUGGGUCACUGCUGUGGGUGCAGGUUCCAUUCCCUGGCCUGGGAACUUCCACUGCUUCGGGCAUGGCCCAAAACCGGGUGGGCAAAAAAGGAGGUCUUCCAGAAAUAAAGGAAGGAGAAAUGAUUGUUUUAUAAACAUAAGCUACUGUACACUCAGAACCGAAGGACCAGUUUCUAAAUUGAAAAUGACCACCAAGGGAGUUUCUGUCCUAACUCAGCCGUAAUGAACCGGACUAGUAGCCAUUAGGUCACGGGUUCCAUCCUUGGCCUCGCUUGGUGGGUUAAGAAUCCUGCGUUGCUGUAAGCUGUGGUGUAGGUCACAGACGUGGCUCAGAUCCUGAUUUGCUGUGGCUGUGGUGUAGGCCGGCAAUUGCAGUUCUUAUUCGACCCCUAGCCUGGGAACUUCCAUUUGCGGUGGGUGCAGCCCUGAAAAGACUAAAUAAAUAAAUCAGUAAAUACAAACUAGUUGAGCUUGGAGUUCUUUUGUGGUGUGUUAGGUUAAGGAUCUGGUGUUGUCACUACUUUGGCUUGGGCUGCUGCUGUGCCGUGGAUUUGAUCCCUGGCCCAGGAACUUCCACAUGCUGUGGGUGCAGCCAAAAAAAAAAAAAAAAAUUGUUGAGUUUGUUUGACGCAUUGUUUUGUUAAGAACAAAGUACAUAGGCAUGUACCGGUUAUAAAAUACAAAUUGUGUAAUUUCUGUGAUACACAAACUAUAGUUUGUGUACGCUUAAAUAAAUGUUCUUAUAUUUGGAUUUAAAAUUGGCAUUCUACCAUAUAAAAAUGAAUGGUAAAAUUUAUGACAACUUAUAAUUUUAAUUUUUAUUGACUUAGAGUGAUGUGACAUGGCCAAAAACCCCACCCCCAAAUGAGGACAAGUCAAGAGUAUCAUGGCAGAAAGAAAAAUCUUUAUUUUAGGGCCUUUUUUUUGUGUGUGUGUGUGUCUUUUGUCUUUUUGUCUUCUUUUGUUGUUGUUGCUAUUUCUUGGGCCGCUCCCGCGGCAUAUGGAGGUUCCCAGGCUAGGGGUUGAAUCGGAGCUGUAGUCUCUGGCCUAUGCCAGAGCCACAGCAAUGCGGGAUCCGAGCGGCGUCUGCAACCUACACCACAGCUCACGGCAAUGCUGGAUCGUUAACCCACUGAGCAAGGGCAGGGACCGAACGCGCAACCUCAUGGUUCCUAGUCGGAUUCGUUAACCACUGCGCCACGACGGGAACUCCUAUUUUAGGGCCUUUAUUGACAAUUUUUCCUGAUUUUUGAACCAGGGACUCCACAUUUCCAUUUUGCACUGAGCCCUGCGAAUUACGCCACUGGUCCUACACAUUAUAUGGUUUAGGGAUGAUUUCCUCAUGAAUUUCUAAUGUUUGCUUCAUUUAAUGACCUUUGGCUCAAGAUUUUUGUAAAAACUCCAUCCUUCACCCCUUCGUUGAACUCCCAUGCAACUCGGGUUUUGUGGUAGAAUUCCUGCCCUCACUGGGACUUCUUAUUAGAAUCAAGCCACAUAUUAGAGAAAUUUGAGAGCCGUUCUUCUUUUAUGGAACUUAAAAUUUGCUGGAAAUCCCUACUAUACAUUUUGAUCCAGAAAGAUACACACAUGCAUCAACCUUAUGAGAUUUUAAGUUCUGGAACAGCUGUUGAUGGGUUAAAUCUGGUCUGCCACCUGUUUUUGUACAGCCCCUGAGCUAAGGAUGGUUUUUAACAUGUUUAAAUAUCUGGAAAAAAAGAUUAGAAAAAUAAUAUUUCAUGAUAUGCUGAAAUGAUUGGCCAUUCAAAUUUCAGUGUCCAUAAAUAAAGUUUUAUUGGAAC
rnacentral:lncRNA from 1 species